rnacentral:piRNA from 1 species
UGAGGUUCCUUGCUCAUGGCUAUGAUGUC